GGGGGCGACACGGUUUCGACGAGGAUUGCAAAGCAAAGAUGGGCAUACCGAGAUCUCAAACUCUCGUAAAACAUUGAAAACUAAUAGUCGCAAACGACGAAAACUUUGCUCUAGCUGCGUAAAGCUGAGCCGUUGCAACGGUUGGUCAAUGGGCCGUGUGGGGUAAAAUCCACCGCAAUGUCAUAGACAUUGACUGGUUUGUCGUUGGGUUACUUAACUACAAAUAAGAUCUAAGGUAACUAGUUUUGAUCAGCCUGUCUGUCGGCUAAAUCAAAAACGAAAUAAAAUAGACCAGACUAAGUAUGUAGAACACUUUGUAGAGGAUUUUCGGACGGGGGUUCGAUUCCCCCCGCUUCCACCA
rnacentral:tmRNA from 1 species